UCGGAGCUGUAGCUGCCAGCCUACACUACAACCACAGCAACACGGGAUCCCAGCUGCGUCUUUGACCUACACCACAGCUCACGGCAACACUGGAUCCUUAGCCCACUGAGCGAGGCCAGGGAUAGAACCGGCAACCUCAUAGUUCCUAAUUGGAUUCAUUAACCGCUGAGCCACGACGGGAACUCUGAAAAAUAGACAAAUUUGAUGUCACAAAAAUUAAAUUUUUUGCAUCAAAAGUCACCGUUGGAGUUCUGCUGCGGCACGAUGGGUUAAGAAUCUGACUGCAGCAGCUUGCGUCGCUGUGGAGUCACGGAUUUGAUCCCCAACUUGGCGCUGUGGGUUAAAAUGAUCCAGUGUUGCCACUUUUGUGGCAUAGAUCUCAGCUGCAGCUCAAAUUCAGUCCCUUUCCCAGGAACUUAAAAAAAAAUAGUUACUGUCAAUAUAGUAAAAAGACAAUCCACAGACUGGGAGAAAAUAUUUGCAAACCACAUAUCUGACAAUUAAUAUCCAGGGAGUUCCUGUUGUGGCGCAGCAGAAAUGAAUCCGACUGGUAUCCAUGAGGAUGUGGGUUUGAUCCCUGGCCUCACUCAGCAGGUUAAGGAUCCGACGUUGCCAUGAGCUGGGUGUAGGUCACAGACAUGGCUCGGAUCCUGUGUUGUUGUGGCUGUGGCGUAGGCUGGCUGUAGUCUCUCCAAUUCAUCCCCCUAGACUGGGAACUUCAACAUGCCGCAAGUGUGGCCCUAAAAAAAAAAAAAAAAGAAUCUAAAGAGAACUCCCAAAACUCAACACAAAAAUGGAUAAGCAAUGAGAUCCCGCUGUAUAGCACUGGGAACCAUAUCUAGUCACUUAUGAUGGAGCAGGAUAAUGUGAGAAAAAGAAUGUAUAUAUGUGUGUGCCUGGGUCACCUCGCUGUACGGGAGAAAACUGGCAGAACACUGUAAACCAGCUAUGAUGGAAAAAAUAAAAGUCAUUUAAAAAAAACCCCAAAAAAACCCAACUAAUUAAAAAAUGGGUGGGAGGAGUUCCUGUUGUGGCUCAGUGAUUAACAAAUCCAACCAGGAACCAUGAGGCCAUGGGUUCGAUCCCUGGCCUUGCUCAGUGGGUUAAGGAUCUGGCUUUGCCAUGAGCUGUGGUGUAGGUCACAUACGAAGCUUGGAUCUCACAUUGCUGUGGCUCUGGCAUAGGCUGGCGGCUGUAGCUCCAAUUGGACCCCUGGCCUGGGAACCUCCAUGUGCUGCAGGUGUGGCCCUCGAAAAGACAGAAAGACCAAAACCAAACAAACAAAAAACAAAAGGGCGGGAGACUUGAAUAGACAUUUCUCCAAAGAAGACAUGAAUGACUAAUAUGAGCAUGAAAAGAUGCUUGACGUCACUGAUCAUUAGGGAAAAUCAAAACUGCAGUGGGAGAUACCUACCACUUCACACUCAUUACAGUGGCUCCUGUCAAAGACCAGCCACGCGUGUGUUGGCAAGGACAUGGAGACGCUGGAGCGACGUAAGAUGGAACAGCUGCUGUGGCAAAUAAUUUAGGGGUUCCUCAAAGAAUUAAAAGCUGAGUUGCUUUAUGGUCCCAUAAUUCCACAUUGAGGUUUAUACACCAAAGAACGAGAGCAGGUCCAGACGAGACAGGGAACACCCGCGCUCAUGACGGCAUUGUUCACAGUGGUCGAAUAGUGGGAGCAACCCCAGGGCCCAUUGACAGAAGGAUGGAUGAGCUAAGUGUGGUGUAUACACACAAUGGAGUGUCGGUCUGCCUUGUAAAAGGAGGGAAUUUUGCAACGCAGAUGAAUCUUGAGGAUAUUAUGCUAAGUGAAAUAAGCCAGUAGUAAAAAGACAAAUACUGCGUGGCUCUGUUUACGGGAGCAACAUGGAGCAGUCAAACUCACAGAGACAGAAAGUAGAAUGGCAGUAGCCAGAGGGUGGGAGUCAAUGUUUCAUGGUCUAGAAUUUCCGGUUCACAAGACGAGGUAGGAGGAUGGAUGCUGGUGAUGGUAGCACAAAAAUGUGACUGUGUUUAAUACCACCGAACUAUGCUUUUAAAAAUUUUGUUAUGUGUAUUUUACAAACACAAACAACGUAUGCACGAAGAGAUGUGGUUUUCUGUCCUUUGGGUCUGGGAGAAGGGAAGGGGGGACUUGGUGGGGCACAGGGGAUUUUUAGGAAGAGUCACUCUUCUGGGUCAUAUAAUGGUGGGUAUAUGUCAUCACGUAUUUCUCAAAUCCCAAAGAAGGCACAACACCAAGCGGGAACUCUAAUGUGAACUAUGGACUUUAGUGAGUGAUAGCGUGUCAACAUUGGUUCAUUGAUUGCAACAAAUGCGUCACAUUCACGGGAGAUGUUCAUAACAGAUGAAACUGUUGGGGGGACGAAGGGGCACGAGGGACACUACACUUCCUGCGCAGUUUUUCUGUAGACGUGAGACUGCUCAAAAAGGAAGCCCAUUCUGGAGUUCCCAUCGUGGCUCGGCAGUUAAUGAACCUGACUAGAAUCCACGAGGAUGUGGGUUUGCUCCCUGGCUUCGCUCAGUGGGUUAAGGAUCCGGUGUUGCUCUGAGCUGUGGCGUAGGUUGCAAAUGUGGCGGUGGCGGUAGCGGCAGCUGUGGUUCGGAUUCGACCCCUAGCCUGGGGACCUCCAUAUGUCGAGGGUGCAGCCCUAAAAAGCAAAAUAAAUAAAUAAAUAAAUAAAUAAAGUUUCUUCUUCUUCUUUUUUUUUUUUUAAAAGAAGAUUUCUCAUUGGCCAGAACAGGAUCACAGGGCCGCUGCCGACUGCAAAGGCGGCUGGGAAAGCAAGGAACAGCCUCUCUCUCUUGGACAGUGGACACUGUCUUUCGCCAAAUAGGAGCAGGGUCUGGUGACAAGGAAGAUGAAGGGUGCCACUAGGAGACCAGGCUCCAAAUCUCAACCUGUAGGUCUAACCCAACGAGCUGGAAAUGACCAUAGACUCUUCAUAUCCCUGGUGCUCAGAGCAUGGCACACACACCUAGCAGGUGCCAUGACCUGGGCCAGUGACUGGCAGAGCAUCGCCGCCUUACCCUGACCUCUCCCCCGAGACUGCACACUCUCUGCCUGCUCCUGGGGGGCAGUGUGGCCAGCCAGUGAGGGGUCCUGAGUGUCAGACAGCCACCUGACCUGAUUCUAGGAGGCUCCCACGCUGGCGGCUGGCCCCCCCCUUGCCGCCUCCCUAGCUUAGUGGCUGUGUUCAAUCCCAGUCCCUUCUCUGGGACGGCUCAGGCACCUUCAGUCCAUCCCACUAGUAACAAGGAAAAAUUGAAAAUGCGACAUCCUUUUGCAGUGAUUACAGAUAGAACCCACAGUGCAGGUGAGGCUGGUGACUUUGCACUUUGGGUUAUUGCUGGUGUCAGUGAAAAAGGUCAAAACACUUGGGGAACCCAUGUGUGUCCACUCUCUGAGUCCUUCACCAGACACCAAUAAGCAAGACUCAGAUAAUGGCUCAAUACGCCCUGGAGUCGAUUAGGCCCAGGGAAGAGCUGAUGAAGUAUGCGCUUAGGGUUGCAAACGUGAGACACCCUGUAACCCUCCAGUCUCAUCCCUGGAUGCUGGAUUAAAGGGGAGAAACACAAAAUAGAGGAAAUAGAGUUAGGCACAAAGACAUUCCCCCAAACUUUUUUCUAAUAACGAAAUAUGCGAACCCGUCUGACCUUUGGCGCUGCACCAGGAGAGUGGAUGACCCGUCAUUCUGAGGGACGCAGCCCGGGCACAAGCGUGCCAGUCCGACGGUGAAGGCAGUGCUGCAUCUGUGUUAGAAGUCAGGGGAUAAAGCAGGAUACAGGCGUGUACACGUCCUGUGCUCACAGUUGAAGUCUGUGCCAGGGGCGUGGCCUUCGCGACCCCACGUGUGCCAGCAGCCUGGUGGUCAGACGGUGGCUGCGUUUUCCUCAGAGGUGGAUGGGGCCAUUCUCAUCUUGAGCAUGUGUCAGAGACGACCCCGUAGACGACACAUCCGGGCUCCGUCUCUAUGCCCCCCCCCCCCCCGACAAACUCCAUCAAGGGAGUCUGUGUGCCUUGGGGCCUGGCUCCGUGCCCACCGGGGGCGGCCUGGGGCUGAAGCUGUGGGUGGUGUCCUCAGCCGCCGUUGUGGCGAGAACAUCACAUGUGCCCUUCUUUCCUGGAGGGGACCCUAGGGAGCAGGCUCCCCACCAUCUCUCGGAGGUUCCUCGUGAGCCUGCAGCUGCCCAAGAAGGAGCCCGGACUUCUGUGCCCUCUGAUUGCACCCUUUCAUCCUCCGGCUCAUCCCUGCUGCCUGCUAGGGGUCACCUUCCAAACAAAGGAGUGGCACUGCGAUCCUUGUCUCGGGGUCUGCUUCUGGGGGAGGACAUCCAGGAGAGAAAACAGAGACUCCGAGUUGGGGCCGGGGGCUCAGCAUCUGCUCCUGAGUCUCCAGGGCGGGGCCUUGGAGGUGCGGGAUGGAGGUCAGUGCAGGCAGGCCCUGGCCAUUGGCUCUCCUCUCCACCGUGGCUGAUUCAGGGCUUAGGGGUCCCCUGCCCCUGCCCUGCCACCCCCCCCUUGGCAUCUGGUUCCCCUCCUCGCGUCUCUGUCUUCCCCAUACGUGUUGGGUGGCUCCCUCUGAGUCAGGCAGGGUCCGUGACACAAACACUGGACCAGGGAGAUUGCAGGUUCCUUCCCGCAGCUGCCUCUGGCAGGCGGCCACCGGCAGAUUGUCCCGACGGCUGCCCUUAUCAGCUCAGCCUUGACUUGGGGGCCAAGGUCUGGCCCAUUCUGGGGGCUGAAGAGCGAGGCCGUGGCUCUCAUGCGUGGGGUCUCUGUGCACUGUCAGACCUGGAUGAGAGCUGAGUUUUCCUGCCCAGAGGAGGAAACUGCUGUCACUGUCACCCCACCCCACAUGUCCCCUCUGUUAUCAGGUUGUUAAUAUUAAUUAACAACAGUUGCUAGGAUGACAGAGCGAGGGUGUGUCCCAACCAGAGCUGGCCUGGACCCAAGAGAGCACUGGGGAGAGUGGGGGGCUCGGAGGCUGGAAGUUGUUCGGGGGAGGGGGUGGUGCCCAGGUGCAACCACGUCUCCCACUUCUCCCAGGGCCUGGUACCUCCUGCAGCAGAAGUCACGUGGGGAGCUCACUGCAGGUCUCUGGCUGGCUCAGCCCUC
rnacentral:lncRNA from 1 species